rnacentral:rRNA from 1 species
UACGAAGGGGGCUAGCGUUGCUCGGAAUCACUGGGCGUAAAGCGCACGUAGGCGGCUUUUUAAGUCAGGGGUGAAAUCCUGGAGCUCAACUCCAGAACUGCCUUUGAUACUGAGAAGCUUGAGUCCGGAAGAGGUGAGUGGAAUUCCUGGUGUAGCGGUGAAAUGCGCAGAUAUCAGGAGGAACACCAAUGGCGAAGGCAGCUCACUGGGACGGUAUUGACGCUGAGACGCGAAAGCGUGGGGAGCAAACAGG